CACGCCGUUUCAUUCGUUUCUUCCAUUGCUCGAAGCAGUGCUGGAAGUCUGUUUUCGUAAGACCAUUCAGGAGUUCCGCCGAUUUUUGUUUCACCUCUUCCAUCGACUCAAACCGGAUUCCUUUUAAGGCAGACUUUAUCUUCGAAAACAAGUAAAAGUCGCAGGGUGCCAAGUCGAGUGAGUAAGACGCGUGUUCGAGUACUGGAGUGCCUUAAGCGGCCAAAUAACGCUUCACGUUNCCGUUUCUUACGAACUCAUUCGCGCAAUGUUGCCAAAACUGUCAAAUAGUAAUGUUGGUUCACAGUUUGACCCUCCGGAACCCAUUCAGUCAUCACGAUGCCGUUGAUAUCGAAGAAAAUGGUUUUGAAUUGGAUUCCGGUGCACUCUCGACCUUCAGAAAAUGAUUUAUGCCACUCAAAAACACGCGCCCGAGAUAGGAAAUCCUCACUAUAGGUCUCUUUUAACAACUUAUAGCACUCAGUUGGAGUAUUUUUUAGUUUAACGGGAAAAUUUUACGUUUAUCCGUUGCUCAUGUUUUUCGUCACGAGAAAAAAACAUGUUCGUUUCUAAACGCUACAGAGAAAAUAUUAAUGCACCAACAAAAACCCAAUUUUGAACUGGCAUAAUAGACAUUUCCAGCUAACCAGCGCUGUAUUCAGUAUCUCCUAACCUUUUUGAGAC